GCAGCGCGGUUGCUGGGCACCUCGACUAUCACCUGACCGUAGUAAUAUCUCCCGCUACGCGCGUUGUGACCAAUGCUGCAUACAGGAGAUGAGGGAGGACGGCCAGACACCUGGAAGCCGGAAAAUGAUUCUUCACGGAAAAAUCCAGCAAAGCCUACUCCUUCUGGAUGAAGUUCAGAGUCACAUCUUCAAAGACCACCAAGCCGUGACAUAUCCCAGAUAUGUGUAGAGGAGGACAGGUGAAAGGCAGGAUUGGGAACCCCACAGACCGCAGCUCCUCCCAGGAGAACCCCACACAUGAGUCUGGAUCCUCGCCAUGAUCCUCCCGUGGCCCCCACACAAUCUGGGGAGACGCGGGGCCGCGGGCACUGCGCUGCCGAGAGGGCUCCGGACUGAGGCUGCAGUUGCUGCGCAGGGACGGCUCAGGAUGCCCGGGGUCCCGGCUGCUGGCCCAGCCCCACCCUGUGGCCGAGGGGACCCAGGGACGAGCUGCGCCAGGGAGACUCGGGUCCGCAGACCCCGGAAUCGCUGCUGACAGGCCCGGGUCCCACCACAGCAGGUCCCAACCAGCCCCUCCUCCCACCCGGCCUUGCACACUCACCAUUUCCCGGCUCCCAGGUGUCCCGGGUCCUCCCUUGGCUCCGGAGAUCAGUGCUGGUCACCACCGGACAGAAGCUGUGGUGGAGCCACCUCGGCCUCUGGAAGGCUGAAUUCAGUGGGUUAGGGGAACAGGAGCCCCUUAGACUUGCGGAGCUUGGCCCCACCCUCCUGGCGGAGCGCCUGAUUGGAUAAUUUACACGACCCCGCCCAGUACCCCUAGGAUAGGAAUCAAGCCCCACCCCCUAGGCCCGGGUUUCAGGAGAAGCCACGGAAAACUCGGAAGUGUGGAGCAGGAUUGACAGGUUCUAGCAACAGCC
rnacentral:lncRNA from 1 species